GAUGAACGCUGGCGGCGUGCCUAAUACAUGCAAGUCGAGCGAACAGACGAGGAGCUUGCUCCUCUGACGUUAGCGGCGGACGGGUGAGUAACACGUGGAUAACCUACCUAUAAGACUGGGAUAACUUCGGGAAACCGGAGCUAAUACCGGAUAAUAUAUUGAACCGCAGGGUUCAAUAGUGAAAGACGGUUUUGCUGUCACUUAUAGAUGGAUCCGCGCCGCAUUAGCUAGUUGGUAAGGUAACGGCUUACCAAGGCGACGAUGCGUAGCCGACCUGAGAGGGUGAUCGGCCACACUGGAGCUGAGACACGGACCAGACUCCUACGAGAGGCAGCAGUAGGGAAUCUUCCGCAAUGGGCGAAAACCUGACGGAGCAACGGCGCGUGAGAGAUGAAGGUCUUCGGAUCGUAAAACUCUGUUAUUAGGGAAGAACAAAUGUGGAAGUAACUAUGCACGUCUUGACGGUAACUAAUCAGAAAGCCACGGCUAACUACGUG
rnacentral:rRNA from 1 species